rnacentral:rRNA from 1 species
CGGAGUAAUACAUAAGUAACCUGCCUAGACAGGGGGAGUAACUAUUGGAAACGAUAGCUAAGACCGCAUAGGUACGGACACUGCAUGGUGACCGUAUUAAAAGUGCCUCAAAGCACUGGUAGAGGAUGGACUUAUGGCGCAUUAGCUGGUUGGCGGGGUAACGGCCCACCAAGGCGACGAUGCGUAGCCGACCUGAGAGGGUGACCGGCCACACUGGGACUGAGACACGGCCCAG